AGAUAAAAUUACCCGAAAGUGUUAUCAUUGUUAAAUAAAUUACGGAUGUGCGUCUUUACGUCAAGGUCGUGAUUCUACAUAACAACAUCCGCUUGACCUCGCAACGCCAAGAAGAAGAAAGGCGUGGAACACAUGCUUAAGCCUGUCAAGAUCUUCAGAUGAUGUUUGAGAAAAAAGUCAUCAUCCUCUUCGUCACUCUUCAUCCGUAUUUGGGGUAACAAACACCUGCUUCCCACAAGAGACUGGACCGCUGAAGUCAGGUGACCUGCACCUUCCUUGAACAUGUUGGUAACUUACUCUGUACAGUAUUUGUUCACGGUGGUCACCCCAGGGUCUCAGGACUCAAAACGAGUGCUCUAUGGAUUGAACAGAAAAUGUAGUAUUAACAAGUGUUAAGUUAUGUCUUUAAAUGCCACUAAUAAUGUGUUUCUGUUUUCUUUCUCAUUAUGCUAACAAACGCUCUUUUAUCCCUCAUGUUAGGUGGAUCAACACUCCAACCAUCUGCAUUAGGGACUGAAUAAAGGAUGCCCUCUGUAGCUGGGAAUGUUAGAUCAGGCGGAUCAACAUUCCAUCCAACUGCAUUAGGAUCUACCUUAGAGACACUCACUGGAGCUGUAAAGGGAAGCAGGUCACUUACUUUUCAUUCGUCCUUGGUGGUCACCCCAGGGUCUCUAGAGUGAAAAUUACUCAAUCUAUGGAUUAAACAGAAAAUGUAGUUUUAUGAAGUGCAAUUUGGGACAUUCUUCCAGUUGUCGGCAACUUUGUGAAAAAGGCUGGAAACUAAAAUGCAGAAUUCUGGCCUGGUGUUUGGUCCGUGCUGUCUUUGGCUCUUGCAUCUCCAUCAUCCUGACCCUCUUUAGCAGCCUGUCCAUGUAUUUAUUUGGAGGCCACCAUGAGCACCCAUCUGCAUAAUAUGACUUUGUUACUUAGUUGUCCAUGCUCCUACAAAUUCUACAUUUUUUGUAAAGCUGCAACAAGUUGAAACCCUAUAAUUAUUAACAUUUGAUUUUGAAUGAUGUAAUUCAAAUACAUGAAUAAGUAACAAAAGCAGAAAUAUAUUAAGACAUUACCUUUUUGUUGAUUGUUUACUGAUCUAUAAAUCCUUUUGCAUUCUCAUAAUUGAUCAUCAUAACUUGGUAUACAGUGGAUGUGUGGCUGUAGAUAACUUUCUGAAGUCAAUUUAAAAAGGCAAAAGUUAAUAAAUGCUAAAUUGGUCAAAUAUACAUUGUUGUAUUUUCACCAUUUUGAUCUUAUUUAGGCAUUUCAUAACUUGAGGGAAAUUUACGUAUACUGAUGUUUCAAAUCAAAUAUUAAUUUAUUAAUGACAGCUAAUCAUUUUAUAAAGAUUUUUUAUAACAAUAUUUAUUUAUAUAAUAUCAAUUUAAUACAUUUAUUUCGUUACACCUACAUCACUGAGCGCAAGGGAGUGCAGCCAACAAAUACAUUCAGGUGUGUUUGACUUAACACCGAGAUGCGCAGACAGCACGUGGUAUGACAUCAAGUACCGCGAGAGUUUGGGAAAGCCCCGGAAAAGGUUUGAACUCGCGGUACUUAAUGUCACGAUCGGUUUGCGAGUAGAUCAGCAUGAAGUCAAACACAUUUGAGAGAUGUGUGGGCUGCCUGCACUCAACGUUGGGAUCAUUCAAUAGAGUGUAACCUCAAUCGGUUUUUGCAGCUUCUGGGUCCCGUGUAGAACGAUUUUUUGUUCUUUUCCAACUCGAUUUUUAACUCCCUAAACUAGUAGGAUGUUCCAACGGGUGAAGCAACAGUGCUGACGGCAGUUUCAGUGUCAAGUUUUCAUGCCAUGACCACUGGGGCGGAAACCAUUAUGACAUUGCCUUGGACAUCAAACUAAACCAUCUCAUUCUGGCUUUUGAGGUGGAUUCUAACCUCGAAAUCUCAGAAGGACAGGUCUAAGAUGGACGCAGCCUCCAUAGGAUGCAACCUUGCAUUUGAGAAACACCCAUAGAACGGUCAACUUACCCCAUACUCUAACCUGAAUGCAGGGAUCAUAAAACUUUAUCUUUUACCUUAAUUGUUAGAUGGGUGUUGAUACCAAACUUUUUUUCUCGUCUACCCAGGAGAAAGUCAUGGUGUUCUGCUGCUAAGGUUGUCAUAAACGUCUUUUAUUCUGCUUACCUGACUCAUGCAGAAUUCUGGCUUGAUGUUUGGUCCACCUGUUAGCUGGCUCUGGUGCUUGGUAGUCUUCUCAAACCUCUGAAUCAAGACCACCAUGAGAGGCCUUCUGAAGACCAUCAUUACGCUUCAGAUCCAGUUGUCUUUACUUUGAGCCUACCACAAUCCCUGUGCACCAGCUAUGGAAAGUGCAGACCAAACUUCUACCUCCACCUAUAGAACUGAACUGGAGUCUAUGAACUAAUGCUGUGUUCGAGACAACUUGGAUGUUGGAUAUUAUUGACCUUAAACCCGUAAGAAGUCAGGAACAGGAAACAAAGUGGAGUAUCCGACCUCUCAACUUGGAACAGAUCGAUCAACACCGACCUCAACGAGAUGCGUCAUUUGACAUUGCAGACAAGGUGGUGGCUAGCCUUUCACAGCCUUACAUGAACCGCAAACAAACUUUAAACAGCACGUAAUAUAGAUGAACAUGAAUGUUAAAUUAUCCAGUAACCGUUUUCUGCCAUAAUUGGCGCAAGAGCACAAACUUCUCCUGGCGUCUCAUUAUGUGGUAAACACGCAAAAAGUGAUACGUGAUUGACUGCAAUGCAUUGAGGUCGGAGCGAGGUAGGAUAUUUAAUGACAUAACAUCAGAAAUCAGAGUUGUCUGUAACACUGCACAAUAUUUCACCUAAUUGUUAGCACCUGAUUAUCAUGUUUUUAACACAACCAUUGAUUGGUCACACGGAUGAAGGCAGCAAGCAGAGACAUUUGUCCUUUGUAUCUCUCUCAAAAUUUUUUAUCUAUAUUUAAUGUUAAAAAACACUUACAGUAGACUCUGUUAGAUAACUGUGCUCUUGGAAGUCAGCUUAAGUGAACAAAUGGUAAUGUUAAUGAAAAGUUCAUUUUUGUCACUGUUGCAAACUAACCACCACACAGAAUAUGAAGAAUAGCCAGAACUGUGGUAAUAAGCUAGCCCUAAAAUGUUGUGAGAAUCUUGAUGUAUUGGACACAGGUGUGUAGUAUCUGUUAUAUAUUGACGGUUGACAGGUUUGUUUGCAUGUAAUUGCAUUAUUAAUUUGGUGUUGAUAGUCCAAUGUUGAUUUGGGAGAAAUAUUUAAUUUCUUUUCUUUUUAGAUCCUUUCUCUUUUUAAUGCAGCACUUAAGGAUGAACCACCCUGAUCUACUAAGAUGCACAGAUUCAACUCUGGCCCAGCAUCAUCCCCAUACCUCAUCUGCCAUCAGUUCAAUUUAAUGUCUGUCAAUUGCAAAUGGUAUUUAUUUCAGUUAUAUUACAACUUAAUAUUAAAGGAAUAGUCUACCCUUUUGCCAUAUUAAACUAUGUUAUUACCUCAACCUAGAUGAAUUAAUACAUACCUAUCUUUUUUCAAUGCGUGCACCGUACAGCGCGUUGUGAAUGUGUUAGCAUUUAGCCUAGCCCCAUUCAUUCCUACGGUACCAUAAAAGUUUUAUUUUGUGGCACCAUACUUACUGGUAUAACUCCUCAUGUAACAGUCUUAAAAUAGGGAAAACACGAAAGUGUUUGGUGGCUUCCCUGUUUGGUACCAUAGGAAUGAAUGGGGCUAGGCUAAAUGCUAACACAUUCACGACGCGCUGUACAGUGCACAAUAGAUAUGUAUUAAUUCGUCUAAGUUGAGGUAAUAACAUAGUUUAAUAUGGCAAAAGGGUAGACUAUUCCUUUAACUUUAAUUGAGACUAGUAUUGUGUAAAGCUGGGGUUUCCAAACUUCUCAUUUCAAAACCUAUUAGACAACUGUAAUCUAUUCUAGACCCACUAAAAUAUUUUUAAAUAUAAAUUUUUUAAUGGGGUAAAACACAUUUGUUCUCUUUCAGUGGAGUCAUUUUAUUUUCAUAAUAUUUCAUAAUGUAAAGUAAAUAUAAGUUUAUUUGCAAUACCAAAUAUUUUAUGGUAUAUUCUUUCAAAACCAUUGUCAUUGUUAAUUAUUAAUUUGGCCAAACUGUUGUUGCAUCAUUACGGUGUGCAACACACCUUAACCUACUGUGUGACGGACAAGUAGGUCCUCCUGACACACAAUUUAAAAUCCCCUGGUGUACCGAAUGUUGUAUUGUAAUUAAAGUUGCAUCUAAGUCUUGUGUAA